AGCAGCCGCGGUAAUUCCAGCUCCAAUAGCGUAUAUUAAAGUUGUUGCAGUUAAAAAGCUCGUAGUUGAAUUUCGGGGUUAGUAGGUUGGUCAUGCCUCUGGUAUGUACUGGUCUCACUGAUUCCUCCUUCCUGAUGAACCUUAAUGCCAUUAAUUUGGUGUUUUGGGGAAUUUGGACUGUUACUUUGAAAAAAUUAGAGUGUUUAAAGCAAGCUAACGCUUGAAUACAUUAGCAUGGAAUAAUGAAAUAGGACGUUCGAUCCUAUUUUGUUGGUUUCUAGGAUUGACGUAAUGAUUGAUAGGGAUAGUUGGGGGCAUUAGUAUUCAAUUGUCAGAGGUGAAAUUCUUGGAUUUAUUGAAGACUAACUACUGCGAAAGCAUUUGCCAAGGAUGUUUUCAUUAAUCAAGAACGAAAGUUAGGGGAUCGAAGACGAUCAGAUACCGUCGUAGUCUUAACCAUAAACUAUGCCGACUAGGGAUCGGAUGAUGUUAAUUUUUUAAUGACUCAUUCGGCGCCUUA
rnacentral:misc_RNA from 1 species